GGGUACGAGUUUACUCCAACCCCUGUGACAUACCACUUGUUGCCUCGGCGGAUCAGCCCGCUCCCGGUAAAACGGGACGGCCCGCCAGAGGACCCCUAAACUCUGUUUCUAUAUGUAACUUCUGAGUAAAACCAUAAAUAAAUCAAAACUUUCAACAACGGAUCUCUUGGUUCUGGCAUCGAUGAAGAACGCAGCAAAAUGCGAUAAGUAAUGUGAAUUGCAGAAUUCAGUGAAUCAUCGAAUCUUUGAACGCACAUUGCGCCCGCCAGUAUUCUGGCGGGCAUGCCUGUUCGAGCGUCAUUUCAACCCUCAAGCACAGCUUGGUGUUGGGACUCGCGUUAAUUCGCGUUCCUCAAAUUGAUUGGCGGUCACGUCGAGCUUCCAUAGCGUAGUAGUAAAACCCUCGUUACUGGUAAUCGUCGCGGCCACGCCGUUAAACCCCAACUUCUGAAUGUUGACCUCGGAUCAGGUAGGAAUACCCGCUGAACUUAAGCAUAUCAAAAUCCGGGAGGAAA
rnacentral:rRNA from 1 species